rnacentral:misc_RNA from 1 species
GAUGAAGAACGUAGCGAAAUGCGAUAAGUAAUGUGAAUUGCAGAAUUCAGUGAAUCAUCGAAUCUUUGAACGCACAUUGCGCCCAUUAGUAUUCUAGUGGGCAUGCCUGUUCGAGCGUCAUUUCAACCCUUAAGCCUCUGUUGCUUAGCGUUGGGAGCCUACCUACCCGGUAGAUCCUCAAAGUUAGCUGGCAGGGUCGAGGUUCGCCCUAAGCGUAGUAGUUCUUUCUCGCUUCUGCGGCUGCCUAGGCCAUCGCCACAAGCCUUUUAAACUUCAAUGGUUGACCUCGGAUCAGGUAGGAAUACCCGCUGAACGUAAGCAUAUCAAUAAGCGGAGGA